GACAGAGGCCUCGAGCGUUAGGCGGAAUCACUGGGCUUAAAGCGUGUGUAGGCGGGCCCGUAAGUGUCUUGUGAAAUCCCCCGGCUCAACCGUGGAACUGCUGGGCAUACUGCGGGUCUUGGGCCAACUAGGGGCAGCCGGAACAAGCGGUGGAGCGGUGAAAUGCGUAGAUAUCGCUUGGAACGCCGAAGGUGAAAACAGGCUGCUGGGGUUGCGCCGACGCUGAGACACGAAAGCCAGGGGAGCAAACGGG
rnacentral:rRNA from 1 species